GCGCCGGUGGUGUAAAGGCGUAGAGCAUUCCCGCCCGGUUAGAGGGAGGUGCGAGUUCGAGUCCCGCCUGGCGCU
rfam:Heligmosomoides polygyrus genome assembly, scaffold: HPBE_scaffold0002156